GUUCAAAGUUUAAUAUCACAAUUUCAGUUUGAAUUUGGUAAUGGAGUUUCUGUUGCAUUGGAGAAUCUCAACAGAUGAUGUUGGAAUUUUUAAAAAAGAAGUUUGUGCUUAUUAGAAUAUCUAGUAUUGGUAGCUGUGAUUCUCUCAAUUUUGUGUGGGUGCAUGAGUACAUGUGCGUGUGUUGUUGUGAUAGUAAAAUAUAACACUUUAAUUCUAAAAUUAGUUGGUUAGAAAAGGGGGUGGGAAGUAGUGGAAUAAUCCAAGAUUUUAACUGAUUUUGAAGCAUUGGCCCUUGGUUAUAAUUUUUCUCUUAAAACUCCAUAAAACAAAAGUUACUUUUUCUCUCAGUGCUUAGUUUGCUUUGUCUAAGUGGAGAUGGAAGGCCAGUUAAAUAAAAAGCAGCUCAGUUUGAUGUCAGUUCGUACUGAUACUAUUACUGUUGACUUUAGUAUAAAGAUUUAAAUGACAAUAGCAAACAUGUGAAUGCGAUGUAAUUUGAAUUGCAGUGCUAGGUUUUAAACUGAAAUGAUUGGAAAUUGCUUCCUUUUCUCUGAAGAAAGGAAUUUCUCAUUGCAGAAUCUACGAUUAAGCGCCUUUGACCCGAGGAUCUCAAAGUGCUUUACAAACACUAAUGAAUUAAUCCUCACAACACCCCAGUGAGAUGGCUGCAGUGGCUGGAGCUGGGCCGAUCAGGAGCCAGGAGCCAGGAGCUGCUUUUUGGGUCUCCCACAAGGGUGCAGGGGCCCAAGCACUUGGGUCAUCUUCAACUGCUUUCCAAGGCACAUUAGCAGGCUGCUCUGGAAGCAGUGCAUCCAAGACUCAAACAAGUACCUUUAUGGGACACCAGCACUGCAGACAGCAGCUUUGCCCACUACACCAUAGCACCAGCUCCAUGAGUAAAUCUUACUAUGACUUAAUUUGUAUUUUCUUGAUUAAGGUUGAGCUUCUUUUGUUGUUGAUUGGCUGUUUGCAUAUUGUCUUUUGUGAAGUUCCUAAUAAAAUCCCCUACAAUUUUCCCUCUGGGUUGUCAUUUUCCUUGUUGUUUUGUAGAGUUUCUUUACACUUCUUGCAUUAAUAAACAAAAAUUUGGUUACACAGGUGGGAAAUGUCUUCCAUUCUUUGAAAUACUUUUUAAACAGGAGGGUGUUUCCAUUAUUCUUUAGAAUAUCACUGCCUAAUACAGUAGGAGACCCUAGUUCUAUAUGGUUAUUUAGAGUUAAAUUAAUUAAAGGUAAGUAAAAUUAUAAAUUCCCUUGCUUCAUCACAGUAACCACAUUCUAGGUGCUUACUAUGUGGUUAGUAGCAACCCUAUUGGAAAAUAAAGAUAGAUUAUGUCCAUAAUUGCAGAAAAGUUCCACUGGACAGUGUUGUCCUAGAACCUCAUUAUUGUAACUUCACAUUUAUAUCUCUGAUUGACCUGCAGUUGAUUUACAUGAGUGGUUUAAGGUAGAAGUUAAGCUUUAUUUUAUUUUGUAUGAUUAGCCCAUGGACCUAUCAUUUAGUGAAAGGACUAUCCUUUCCCCUUGGCACAGCAUGGCUAGUGUCCAGUGUUGUCAUAAUUCAGGGCUAUUUUUAUACCAUCUAUUCAGUUUCAUUGAUAUGUUUAUCCUUUUGCCAGUACUACUCUCUGUCUUCAUUACUUUGCUUUAAGAUUUGGAUGUGAUAUAGAAUCCUUAUGGAUUCUGUUUGCAUCUGUUUUGAACAUGUAAAAAUCUAAUUUUGUACACAGUGAUUUUGAUAUAUGUUAGGUGUGUCCGUGUUUAUUUCAGAGCUGAAUUCUUGCUUCUUCAGGUUUACUUUAGGUUUAAUUAAUUUAUUUUAAAGGCAUAGAAACAGACAAACAGACUUCUAUAUGCUGUGGUUUAUUUCUGGGCCAGGCUGAGGACAGGAGCCAGGAACUCAGUCUACAUCUCCCACCUAGGUUGUAGGGACCUAACUAAUUGAGCUGUCAUUUGAUGCUUGCCAGGGUGUGCAUCAGCAGCAAGCUGAAUUCAGGAGUGGUACCUGGACUCAAAUCCAGGUACUCUGAUAUGGGAUGUGAGCAUCUCAAAUAGCACUUUUUUUUUUUUUUUAUGAUUUAUUUAUUUAGGCCAGCGCCGUGGUUCAAUAGGCUAAUCCUCUGCCUGCAGCGCCAGCACACGGGGUUCUAGAGCUGGGCCGAUCUGAAGCCAGAAGCCAGGAGUUUCCUCUAGAUCUCCCACACUGGUACAGGGGUUCAAGCACUUGGAUCAUUGUACACUAGCUUCCCAGGCUGUAGCAGAGAACUGGAUUGGAAGUGGGGCAGCUUGGUCUUGAACCAGCGCCCAUAUGGGAUACUAGCACUGCAGGCAGCAGCUUUACCCUCUACAUCUCAGCACCAGCCCCUCCCCCGCAUUGGCAUCUUAACCAUUAGUUCAGACCAGAUCCCCCCGCCGCCCCCCCCCCCGCCAUUAAGUCAUUUUGUUGUUACUAUUUAUUUAAGUCUUUAUUGGAUGUCUGUAAUGUGCCAAACACUGUUUCAGGUGUUGUAGAUAAAACACUUCUCAAUUUAUUACAAAAAAUUUUAUGUAAAUAGAUUGUAUGAUGGAAGAAAAUAUAUUCUCAUGGUGGUUAUAAAGACAAGCUGAGAAAAAGAGAAGAAAAACGGCAAGAAAACCCAAGUAGGAAGCACUAAAAAAGGUGUCAGAAUCCUUUUAUAAGUAUAGGAGAGUUUCUAAAACAAAAACAAAGCCUUCUGGGCCAGCGCCGUGGCUCACUUGGUUAGUCCUCUGUCUAUGGCACCGCCAUCCCAUUUGGGUGAAAGGUUCUAGUCCCGGCUGUUCCUCUUCCAGUCCAGCUCUCUGCUGUGGCCUGGGAGGGCAGUCAGUGGAAAAUGGCCCAAGUGCUGGGGCCCCUGCACCCGGGUGGGAGACCAGGAGGAAGCACCUGGCUCCCGGCUUCGGAUUGGUGCAGCGCUGGCCGUAGCAGGCAUUUGGGGAGUGAACCAACGCAAGGAAGACCUUUUUCUCUGUCUCUCUGUCUCUGUCUCUUUCUCUCUCUCUCUCUCACUCACUGUUUAUAACUCUACUUGUCAAAUAAAUAUAAAAAAGAAAAGCCUUCUUUGACUUCAAUUCUCAUUUGAGUGACACAGUGUUGAAGGCAUGGAAUUCUCAGACUUGGCCACACACUUCCUGCAGAGAGAACUGUGCUGUCUUGUUUGUUAUUAUGUGACUGCUCCUCCCCAAGUUUGAGGAAGGUCCCACUGCCAGCUCACAGCUCAGCUCUCUGCAGCCCACUGUGGUUUACCACUCACAUGUAUUUGUUUUCUGUUAGUACUACUGUUGUCUCAUGCCAUUCUUUGUCCCAUGGGUUUGUCUUUAAAAAUUUCUUUAAAAUUUGUCUUUAAAAAUUUCUUUAAAAUUUCAGUGAGAUUUCAGGAGGGAGGGAUGCUAAUGCUUGUGUUCAAUCCUGCAUCUUUAACUUUUUAAGCCUAAUUCUCCUAGUCAUGCUUUUUCUCCCUGAUGCAAGGAGAUGGCACUUCUUGAAGUGCAAUGAGACUGCUAAGACAACUCCAUGAUUGUGUUUUCAGAUCUUGUAAUAGAUCAUAUGUGGACCGUGUUCUUGAGCAUGAUGUUCAUGUUCUGUUGGAGGAAGUAUUUUCAUAGUUUUGUGCUUUUCCAUGUUAAUCAUUAAAUAUGAGUUGAGUGAGUAGCCUGUCCUUGGCUCUUUAUAUUGCUUAACUAAAUUGUAUGGACCUUAAUUUCUACUUUUAACUAAAGUUUUACAUAGAUAGUUAUUUGAAGGCGGGGAAUCUGUGUUAAGUCUGUACGCUCUAGGACUUAGUAUACCAUGAGUACUGAAGACUCUUGUUUAAACUUUAAAUGAAAAGCCAAAGUUUAAAAUCUGUCAUUGCUACUAAAAAUUAAACUGUUGUUUGAUGCAUUGUCUUUGUCUUGAUAUAAUGAUGAACCUGUGAGGCUGAAUAAUUUUAGGUAGAAUAUUUAUGAUAUUUGUUCUAAAGUGAAAUUUGAGUUAUAUAUACAUUUAAUGUGUCAAAGUAUCUAAUUUGAUAUAUGAAUAUAGUAAGAACAAGGAUCAGAAUUUGACUUCAUUUCCUGCACUUCCCUGUUCUUUUGUAUACUCUGCAUUUUUAACAUUGGCAUACACACUAAUAGGUGAUACUGGUAUCUGAGGGUUCGGAUAUAAAUAAAUAAAUAAUCCAGAUCACAAGCUACUAGAAAAAUUAUGUACAUACAAGAUGAUGCAGUUAAAUUUCUUUUGAUUUGGAGGAACAUGAUGGUCUGCUGUUAUCAAGUAAUUCUGGUACUUAAAAGAAUUGACUGUGAUACCCAAUUGUACGUUUUUAUUUAAACUACUUUUUUGUAUAUUCUUUUUUAACUAGACUUUUAAUGCUUUUGAUUUAGGUGUUUUAAUUGUGUGAUGAUAGAUCAGAGGGUGAAAUUCUAAACAUGAUUUCAACUCUCACUUUUGCUGAGGUAUUGUUAACUGAAAUAGUUAACUAGUAAUUUGUUUAUGCCAUAGCUUAAAUAAUAUUUUUGGAAACAAGUCAUCAUCAGGUGUAAUACUCAGAACAAGGGUGAUUAGGGAGGGCAAGCAGUUGUUGAUGAAGGUACGUGAGGAUACUCUUGGGUAAUGUUGAAUGUGGACUUUAUCAGAUCUGGGUAACAGUGACUUUGGAGUGGGAGUAGGGGUCAAAUGGAGUCAUUUCAUUCACCUGUUGUGAGAGUUUUUCAUCAGUAAAAUAAUCAAAAGGCAUUUUGAAAAGGAGAGAACUCUCUGUCCUCUCUCUCUCUCUCUACCUAUCAAAUAAAAAAAAGGGGGGGAGAGGAAAACAUUGUCUUAAGUGAUAGAUUGGAAAUUGACCUCCUAAAAUGGGCAAAAAAAAAAAAAAAAAGUUUGCCUCAGCCAGCUGUUUCUGAGCAAACUUCUUUAAUCUUUACUUUUUAAAAGAACUUCCUUAUUAUGCACACUUGAACUCAAAAAUUUUUUUAAUCUGUGUGCCUAUACUAUUUACUAUGUAUUAUAAAUUGACCAGGUUUAUCCAUAUUCUCUUUAAAAUUUAUUUAGUUUAUUUGGAAGACAGAGAGACAAGAAGGAGCGCUCUCAUCUGCCAGUUCACUCCUCUAAUGCCUGCAACAGCCAGGGCUGUGCCAAGCCAAACUCAGGAACUCUUUUGGAUUUCCCAUGUGGAUGGCAGGGUCUCAAGUAGUUGAGCUGUCACCCGGGAUGUGCAUUAGCAGACAGCUGGGAUGGAGAUUGGCGCUGGUAUUAAAAUCCAAGUACUCUGAUAUGAGAUGGAGACACCAGGAGCUGCAGCUUAACUGAUGAAGCAAACACCCAUCUUAGAUCCAUAUUUAAUAUUUUUUUAGUGAAUAAAGUUUAUUUAUUGCUUUAUUUCAACCUCCCUCCCUUCAAACUUUCUUAUUUCUUGAAAACUUUUUUAUUAUUCAUUUGGAAGGCAAUUAGAGAGAGGGAGAGACAGAGAUUUUUCAUCCCACUAGUUCACUCCCCAAAUGGCCACAAUGGCCAGGGCUGUCCCAGACUGAAGCCAGGAGCCAGUAGCUUCCUCCAGUUCUCCCCAUGGGGCCCAAGCACUUGGGCCAUCUUGAGCUGUUUUCCCAGGUACAUUAGUGGGAGAGCUGGAUUGAAAGUGGAGCAGCAGUGUGAUGCAGGCAUCACAUAGAUUGUUUUUUUACCCGCUAUACCACAGUGUCUGCUCCUCCUUGAAAACCUUUAAAGAUAAAUAAUCUAAUUAUAUGUAAAGGGCCCCUAAUAGGCUGCCAGAGUUCACAGGGUUAAUUGAUCACAUUUGGUUUCUCUGAAAUAUUUCUCAACAGUGGUCCAAAUAUGUUUGUUUCC